UACGGAGGGGGUUAGCGUUGUCCGGAAUUACUGGGCGUAAAGGGCGCGUAGGCGGUCAAUCAAGUCAGGUGUAAAAGACCCCGGGCUCAACCCCGGGGUAGCACCUGAAACUGGUUGGCUAGAGGGCAGGAGAGGGGAGUGGAAUUCCCGGUGUAGCGGUGAAAUGCGUAGAUAUCGGGAGGAAUACCAGUGGCGAAGGCGACUCUCUGGACUGGCCCUGACGCUGAGGCGCGAAAGCGUGGGGAGCGAACAGGAUUAGAUACCCGUGUAGU
rnacentral:rRNA from 1 species